rnacentral:rRNA from 1 species
GACGAACGCUGGCGGCGUGCUUAACACAUGCAAGUCGAACGGUAAGGCCCUUCGGGGUACACGAGUGGCGAACGGGUGAGUAACACGUGGGUGAUCUGCCCUGCACUUCGGGAUAAGCCUGGGAAACUGGGUCUAAUACCGGAUAGGACCACUGCCUGCAUGGGUGGUGGUGGAAAGCUUUUGCGGUGUGGGAUGGGCCCGCGGCCUAUCAGCUUGUUGGUGGGGUGAUGGCCUACCAAGGCGACGACGGGUAGCCGGCCUGCGAGGGUGACCGGCCACACUGGGACUGAGAUACGGCCCAGACUCCUACGGGAGGCAGCAGUGGGGAAUAUUGCACAAUGGGCGCAAGCCUGAUGCAGCGACGCCGCGUGAGGGAUGACGGCCUUCGGGUUGUAAACCUCUUUCAGCACCGACGAAGCGCAAGCGACGGUAGGUGCAGAAGAAGGACCGGCCAACUACGUGCCAGCCGCCGCUGUAA